AAUACAGCCGUUAGAAUCGAAGGUUGAAGCCAUUCAGAACUUCCCGGUACCCAAGACGCUAAAAGAAUUACGAAGAUUUUUAGAUGCCCUUUCGCGUAUCGAGGCAGUUUCUAUACCCUUAGAUUACCACUCCCUGGUCAAAGCACAAGAGGCGGACAGCGAGCUACA